rnacentral:lncRNA from 1 species
CACUGAUAAGAUGGCAACUGAUCUUUCAGGAUAGUAGUUAUAACGACUACAGAAAACUAACUAUGCAGCACAGCUCUAACAGAAAAUGAACAAAGGUUUCUGUGAAAUAAUUGAGUUGUUCCUGUGAGAAAUGAUUUGGUGAUAUCCUGUUUUCCUCUUGGUUUACAAAGAAAACUCAGUGUCAGGGGAAGACUGGGCUGUGCUGGACUAAUAAAUUUGUCUGAAGCCAAGAAUGCCCCUGGUUUGGCUCUGGAAAGAGUACUAAGCAGCCAAGGACAUUUGGAUGGUCAAAUUCAACUCAGUACGGUCUUCUGCUGAGCCUGUUCCUUGCUUCUGCGAUGUCAGUACUGACACCAGUGAGUAAAUUUGAGAAGGAAAAUACUAUUAAAUACUUUAUUACUGUCUGAAAGAUGGUGUAGUUUAAGAUUUUUUUGUAUUUUUCAACCAACAAGGCUUAAGCAAG